rnacentral:rRNA from 1 species
UGGAGAGUUUGAUCCUGGCUCAGGAUGAACGCUAGCGGCAGGCCUAAUACAUGCAAGUCGGACGGGAUUCAGGGAGUAGCUUGCUACGAACUGAUGAGAGUGGCGCACGGGUGCGUAACGCGUGAGCAACCUACCCAUAUCAGGGGGAUAGCCUCUCGAAAGAGAGAUUAACACCGCAUAACAUCAUUUACCGGCAUCGGUUUUUGAUCAAAUAUUUAUAGGAUAUGGAUGGGCUCGCGUGACAUUAGCUAGUUGGAGAGGUAACGGCUCACCAAGGCUACGAUGUCUAGGGGCUCUGAGAGGAGAAUCCCCCACA